GUCUUCUGACUUAGAAAGCAUUCUAAGCCUUGAACUGUGGAGAGUCUGUAGGAAAGCUAGAAGCUCCCAUGCCUUCAAAGCCAUCCCAGAUAACUACCGAGGGGGCUGAAAACCAGACGAUGUCAGAUCAAGAUAGUGAUCAGGACCAGAUGGGAUCUGUGGGCUCUACAAUUCUUUCCCUCCACCCAGAGGGGGAAACUUUGGAAUGGAUGGCAAAAUUAUGACUGAGAGAGGAAACAGAGCGAGCCAGAUGGUCGACUGGAGUGGGGAGGCUACCGGACUGGGGAAGGACCCCCCAAGGAGUAACAAGUGCCAGACCCUUGAGAGGGGAAUCGGCAUGGAUGCAAGAGCAGAAAGAAAGCCUCAUGGUUGCCCAAGCUAUGCAACUUCUCAGGGAUUCCGAAGCCAGCCGCCAGACCCAGGAGAGGAAUAAUAUCUCUUUUGAAGGGGUGCCGAAUGUCAGCCUCCAAUCUUUUCAAUGCUUGCUUGUCGGCUGCCAUGGAAAAGGGGGGGAGGGGGAGUUAGGAAAUUGCUAGAUGGGGAAGCGUGCUGGUGAAGGAGUAUGGAGAAACGAAACCGAAUCUUAGCUGCAGUCCUGUGCCUUUGAAGCUGCUAUCUGCUGACAUUCCAGAUUGAUGACACUGCCAGAUGUGUGAUUCCACCUGACCUCUGGAGGACCUUUGGAUUGGAUGAUUUACGCUGGACACUUGGGAGGGGAUGCUUUCUAUAUGUGAUUUUCGCGCCUAUUGUCUCAGAUCUUGCUUUCCUUGGCUGCAUUCAAUUCUAUUUUAGUAAAAGUACCUUUUUCCAU